rnacentral:lncRNA from 1 species
GACACUAUUUAUUGAAUUUUUUUUCAUUCAGACAUUUUAACAAACACCUUAUCUGCAGAAAAAUAUGCUCUUGGCAUCAAAUAUUUGACUGCACAGCACACACCAACUAGAAGAGGGAAAGCUACGAGGGUUGUUCACUGCACCACAUCACAAGGUUUUCCCCAUCCAACUCACCCAGCUCACAACCUACUUCACGUGACUAUCCGAUUCUCGUCGAAAUUAACAGCGAAAUGCAACAUAACAAAGAGGGAAGUCAACUACACAAAGAAGAUGAGCCAUUAGGAAUAAUGGAUCAGAGCCAUCCAUGACUUGAAGAGUGCGACAACUCCUUUUUAUGGAGGAACAAAUGGGCUUCGGCUAGAGAAGCUGCUGCGGCGCCGGCUGGAGAGGUAGAGGGUGGAGCGACGCGCGGCGACCUGCGACCAGAGCUGGGGAGAAGGACGAUAGCUUGUCAGGACUUAGAGGCAGGUGUGGUGGUGGUGAGUCGCGACGCCGACUUACCGGAAUUGGGGGGAGGAUUUAGGGAUUUUAUUUUAGAAAUUGGGGAUUAUUUUGGGCUCAGUAGAUUCAGGAAGAAUGUGAGGGAGACGAUCGAGUGAGGAGAUGACAUGAGCCGGUGGCGGCCGACGAACUUUUCCGACGGAGAUCGAAGGGAGAAUAGAGAAAGUUGGGGUAUGGAUUGCCGCAGAGAGAGAAGAGGAGGAGAGAAGCCAGAGAGAAGGAAAGCAUCGUUUUUUUUUCAUUUAUAUAUCGGGUCAACUGACCCGGUUCAUAUUUGUCCGACCCGACCCAGACCCGCGCGCAUUGUGUGAGCGCAAGUUUAAAGCAGCGCGCAUAUAAGUUUUUGUC